GGAGCCCGGGGCGGCUGGGCCGGGUCUGCAGGGACGGGAGGUUUGGGAUCCUCCGGGAAGGAUCGACGUAACCGAGUGGGCCGGGACUGGGGAAAAAGAGUCAGACGGCCCGGAAGGAAGCAGGCGGGGCGCGGGGCCUGGUGCACUCGGAAAGUGGGACGUCUGAGUGUGAAAGGGAGGGCAGGGGCCUGCAAACCCAUUCUGCCUGGAGCUGGCAGAACAGCUGUCAAAUUAACCGGAGUAGGUUUAAUGCGGCUUAUUGGGUAGAGUGGAUGAUGCUCGCACAUCGCCACACCAGACCCCACCCCCAAAGGAGAAUAACCCAAGUCCCGGCUCUCGGUCCGGUGGCUUGUCCCUUCUCUGCUCUCCGGCCUCUGGAGCCCCGAGCCCCAGGCAGCUUGCGGUGGAGAAGGGAUGGGGAUGGGGGAGGGCAGAGGCUGACGACUUCAAGUACUGUCUUAAGGGUUUUAGGAUAUUUUCAGUCUAAUAUGUGACGCCUGCAAAAUAAUAUAAUGAACAAGUGUGUACAUUUUAAAGCACGCUGAGAAAACGGAAGGCUGUGACUCCGCCAGGUUACCAACAUUACGCAGAGAACUGAGACAGGAACCAGCCUAAAGAGACACAGCCGUCUGCAAGGCCCCUGGCCUCACAAGAUAAGGCCCCCAAUCAAUCGGCAAGCUGGGAGAAUCGGAUAGAGGCCGCCAGGAUCCAAGUUCAGCAGCUUCAGGACUCUCCUGGGCUUACGACGCACCCCAGCACCCAGGAGCUGACUGAAGCUGAGCCUAGCGACAUCACCACAUUGAAAAUCACACUCGGGGCGGAGUGCUAGCAUCCUAAGCUACACGCAGGGCGUGUGGUGGCAUGUAGUGCAACAGCACAAGUGCAAGAAGACAACCCCCCCCUUACAGGCCAGGACAGGGCCCUCCUCCCCAGCCUUUGCCUAAUAAAAGCCUCACAAUCCCACUCCAUAACGAGCCAGUCAUCUGCCCCUUUCCUUCCUGCACCGGCUCCCUCAUCCUUGCCCUGUGCAUGAGCUAAUCAACUUUUACUUUUCUACUCCACUUUGUUGUCUCUCUUGAUUUCCAUCCUGGGGGCCAACAAGAACCCAAUGUGCCGGUAACAGAACCACUUUCAAAUUUAGGUAGUUUAACAUUAAUAUAAUACUCGUGUCUAAUAUACAGGCUAUAUUGACAUUCCGCCAUUUGUUCCACUAAUGUGCUUUAGAGCAGCUUUUUUCCCCAAUCCAGGAUCCAGUCUAAGAUCUUUUCACUCUCUCUAUGGAGUCCUUUGAUGAGUGAAAGUUCUUAAGUUUAAUGCAGUUAAAUUUGUCAGUCUUUUCUUUUGUACUUAGCAACUUCGGCAUCUAGAAAAUCCUUGCCCUGCCAGGGGUUGGGGGGCAGGGGGAUGAGGAGCACAGAGGAAUUUUCGGGCAGUGAAAGUAUUCUGUAUGGUACUGUAAUGGUGGACACGUCAUUAUUCGUUUGUCCAAACCCAGAGAAUGCACGACACCAAGAGGGAACCCUGAUGUAAACUGCACUUUAGGGGAUAAUAAUGAGUCAACGCAGGGUCAUCCGUGCGGUGGGGGAUGUUGAUAAUGGGGGAGGCUGUGUGUGAAUGGGGCUGGGGGUCUGGGAAGUCGCUGUACCUUCUACUUAAUUUUGCUGUAAACCUAAAACUGCCCUAAAAAGCGUCUAUUAAAGAAAAGGUCCUUGCCUACCCCAAA